AGCUGUAGCACAUUGAAACACCGAUUCUCAUACGAUCACUGAAGUUAAGCAACGUCGGACCUGGUCAGUACCUCGAGGGGCUGCCACUUGGGAAUACCAGGUGCCGUAAG